rnacentral:rRNA from 1 species
UAUGUGAUCGUCUCUCGCAUAUCAAUAAGCGGAGGAAAAGAAACUAACAAGGAUUCCCCUAGUAACGGCGAGUGAAGCGGGAAGAGCUCAAAUUUGAAAUCUUAAAGGGUUUCCCUUUACGAAUUGUAGUUUAAAGAAGUGUUUUCUGUUGAGGUUUUGGUAAAGGUUCUUUGGAAUAGGACAUCAUAGAGGGUGAGAAUCCCGUAUUUGACCUUUACUUUCAACUUUGUGAUACACUUUCAAAGAGUCGGAUUGUUUGGGAAUGCAGUCCAAAAUGGGUGGUAAAUUUCAUCUAAAGCUAAAUAUUGGCGAGAGACCGAUAGCGAACAAGUACCGUGAGGGAAAGAUGAAAAGAACUUUGAAAAGAGAGUUAAACAGUACGUGAAAUUGUCAAAAGGGAAGCGUUUGACACCAGUGUUGUUUUUCUGAAAAUCAAUUAAAGAACUGUUUAUGCUAAGCUGUUUAGACUUUAUCAGCUAACUGUUUAGUUUUGAGCUUUUCUUUAAUGCACUUUUCAGUUAACAAGUCAACAUCAAUUUCUUUUGCUGUAAAAAAGCUUGAGGAAGGUGGCUUGAGAUUCGUCUUAAGUGUUUAUAGCCUCUUGCCUAUGCAGUCGGAGAGAUUGAGGUCUGCAGCGUAGAUCCUUCGGGGCUAAAUGCAUUUGUGCUAAGUUAUAGCAUUUUAUAGACAACUUGUUGACUAUGAUUUGUCUUGUAGCUUACUCGCUUAUGUUAUUUUACCUACGCUUAGGAUGUUGAUAUCGCGCUCUCACUG